rnacentral:rRNA from 1 species
CCUACGGGAGGCAGCAGUGAGGAAUAUUGGUCAAUGGACGAGAGUCUGAACCAGCCAAGUAGCGUGAAGGAUGACUGCCCUAUGGGUUGUAAACUUCUCUUAUCUGGGAAUAAAAUGUUCCACGUGUGGGAUUUUGUAUGUACCAUAUGAAUAAGGAUCGGCUAACUCCGUGCCAGCAGCCGCGGUAAUACGGAGGAUCCGAGCGUUAUCCGGAUUUAUUGGGUUUAAAGGGAGCGUAGGUGGAUUGUUAAGUCAGUUGUGAAAGUUUGCGGCUCAACCGUAAAAUUGCAGUUGAAACUGGCAGUCUUGAGUACAGUAGAGGUGGGCGGAAUGCGUGGUGUAGCGGUGAAAUGCUUAGAUAUCACGAAGAACUCCGAUUGCGAAGGCAGUUCACUGGACUGCAACUGACACUGAGGCUCGAAAGUGUGGGUAUCAAACAGGAUUAGAUACCCUUGUAGUC